rnacentral:rRNA from 1 species
UGCUAACGUCCGUCGUGGAGAGGGAAACAACCCAGACCGCCAGCUAAGGUCCCAAAUUACUACUAAGUGGGAAACGAUGUGGGAAGGCUCAGACAGCCAGGAUGUUGGCUUAGAAGCAGCCAUCAUUUAAAGAAAGCGUAAUAGCUCACUGGUCGAGUCGGCCUGCGCGGAAGAUGUAACGGGGCUAAGUAGUAAACCGAAGCUGCGGCAAUGUGCUUUUGCACAUUGGGUAGGGGAGCGUUCUGUAAGCGGU